UGACUCCUCCAGGUCUUGGAGUAGGUCAUUGGGUGGAUCCUCUAUUUCCUUAUGUGGGCCACUGGAUGGCUCCUCCAUGUCUUGGAGUAGAUCA
ensembl:miRNA